rnacentral:sRNA from 1 species
GCCGUCAUGGGUGGCUGGGGGCCGGGGUCCAGCGUUACCCGCCGCGAGGUGGGAGGGUCGGCGGAAUUUUAUGUCUUCGGCCACAUCGGCAUCUGGGCGCCCCGGCUCCGCCGCUUGGCUGGUGGCUGGCCUGAGAUUUGGGGUCCUUAGUUCCGGUCGAGACGAGGACGAGUUCGGCGGGAAGCCCUUGGCAGAGUGGCCCCGAAAAGGCCGCGCGUUCCCGCGGCGUGGCCAGCUGUCCCGCGGGCCGUGUCCCGCGGGCCGGACAGUCCGUUCACAGGCCCCGCUCUCUGGAGAGUGGACGCCGGGCGUGAGUUCAGGCGGCCGUGGACGUGGGACCUGGGAACUCGUGCCUCUGGUUUAAAAGCCACCCGUGCCUUCCGUGGCCUUUAAGGCGGCCUGCACUUCUGCCCUCGCCUCUCCAGGGUCCGCUGCAGACCCUCCUGCCUGAUGGCUGUGCUCUCAGUAAUGACGGCGGGCCAGGCUCUGUUCUAGACCUUUUUCCCACGCUCCUGACUCCCGGACACCUCCCAGCCACCUCUAGAGGAGGAACGCGAAUUACUCCCUUUUCGCAGAUGAGGAUACCAAGCCCCAGAAAGGCGGGUCGUUAACCAAGCUGGCCUACUAUUCAACGGUACAGCACAAAGUCGCCAAGGUGCGGUCUUUCGACCACUCCGGAAAGGACACAGAACGUGAACAUGAGCCGCCCUAUGAGAUUUCAGUUCAAGAAGAGAUCA